rnacentral:rRNA from 1 species
UACGUAGGGGGCAAGCGUUGUCCGGAAUCAUUGGGCGUAAAGAGCGCGUAGGCGGCCCUGUAAGUCCGCUGUGAAAGUCAAGGGCUCAACCCUUGAAUGCCGGUGGAUACUGCAGGGCUAGAGUCCGGAAGAGGCGAGUGGAAUUCCUGGUGUAGCGGUGAAAUGCGUAGAUAUCCGGAGGAACACCGGUGGCGAAGGCGGCUUCCUGGACCGAUUACUGACGCUGAGGCGCGAAAGCUAGGGGAGCAAACGGG